rnacentral:piRNA from 1 species
AUUAUGUAUUUUGUCUAGGGCUGC